AUAUGCCAUCCGACGCGAAUGCACUUUAGCCACUUAGCUUUGAGAUUACUGUAAACAACGACUAAUUUUUGUCUUUCCUGAAAGAAGUGCUCAUGUAACACAUAUAUUCCUUGUCAUGAAUUAAAGGUAAGGAGUUAAACUAAACAGGUUAAGUCGAACAACUGAUGCUUCGCCCUCAAGCGGAAGUAGAGCAAACCUCCAACAAACAGCGUUAUAACGGCCGAGGUAGUGGAUAUUUUUUCCUUAUAAACUGCCACAGAGGCAAUAAGAAAAUUCUCUAACAAGUCCUACAUCCGGUCUGAAAGGUUAUUUGAAGGAAACAACGGAUAAUUCAGCGCUAAAGGCCAAGUAUUUUCCAGCCACAGGAAGAAUGAAGGGAUGUGUCGCUGGAUGUGAAAGCUGCGUCGACGCAUUUUGCACGUACCAAACUGGUAAUUUCGCAACUAUGUAGUCGCAGAGGAUUAUCGAAGUGGGCCUGCGAAAAGUUGUUCCAGCGAUGGGGUUCUUUUGGCUUGGCGGCACCAUCUCUGUGCCCACUUCCUGUUGGAUCUUUCUGCUGCCAGCACACCGGCACAUCAUAUGUGCUGAAGGUCCAGACCUCAAGUUUGGACAUGGAAACUCCACGAUGUCAACUGUGAGCUGGAAAGAUUUCAAACAUGGCCUUAAUUCACCCAGAACUGAAUCAGAACAUGUUUAAAUGUGAGAUUUCUAACAGUGGAGGAAUUCAAACUAAUCACAGAUGAUUUUGUUCAGCACUGAAUGCAUUAAAAGAAUAUUGCUAGAGAUUUGGAAGAUCAAAGAUACACAAUUUUCCGAACAUCCUAUAAAAUAAAAAUGUGAAAAGUGUGCUGUGCAUUUGUGUUGAGGGCCCUGAAUUAAUGCAGUUGAAACCAUAAAUUUACUUGCAUCAAAUUCACACAAAUACCUUUUUUCCCACUCCCUAAAGUUAAAUCCUAACAAACCUCUCUUGU